AGCUCUGGUCCCCCAAUACUUCUCAUCGCCCACAACUCAGCUCGCAGCGGCAGGAGUAGCAAAGACUCACUCUUCGUUGUAAAUUGGAGUGUUUUCAAGAUGUAGGGCGAGAGUUGAUUAUUUAGUUCUUUUCUUAGCCGAAAUUCUAUAUGGGUUUAUGAUUUUGAUGAUAAUUUUAAUUAAUUCGGAAGUGUAGUAUAUGACAUUGAGUCAUUGACCAAGAAAACUCAUACACAUAUUGAACUUUACUACCACUCUGCCACUGGCUAACGAAAUUUUAAGCUAUUCAAAACCUCUAGCUUGGUAUCUAUUUAUCCAAACUUUUCCCCAUAUACUCGUUGUAGGGAAUGAAAGUAGCUGUAUUUGAUGCAUUUGAUGCUCAAUAACUGUAAAAAAGAUGAAGCUUUGGGUUCAAGUUCAUGGAAUGCGAAUUUUUUGCUCUGAAAAUGAUUGGCCCUUGACCUGUUUUCAAGGGAUGUUGUUGCCUAUCUUCCACACCCGCAUUCCGACUCUUAAUUCACCUUCCCUUGUUUGGUUAAAAUCUUGGUCCAGUGCUGCACUUAGCCUGAUGGAAUCCAACACCAGAAAUGAAUUGGCUAAUGAAGCUCGAAGCUCACCGAGUCGGCCUCGUGAAGGGUUAAGCAGAGAACCUGGUAGGUUAACUGGAACAAGGCAUAGUUUAGAGAGAAUUGAGAAGAAGGUAAGAAAAAGACAUGCAAAACUUAUUAGCCAUGAGAGACUCAGAAGGUUUUCUAUGUUGCUGCGCACAUGUGCUUCAAAAGGAUCUUUGAGUCAUGGCAAAGCUAUUCAUGGGCAGGUGAUAAAAUGUGGGAUGGACCCGGAUUCUCAUGUGUGGGUUUCGUUGGUUAAUGUCUAUGCAAAAUGUGGGGAUAUGAUGUACGCGCGGCAAGUGCUUGCUGAAAUGCCAGAGCGUGAUGUUGUGUCUUGGACUGCUUUGAUGCAAGGGUUUGUAGCUGAAGGGUAUGGAAUUGAUGGUGUUCUUCUCUUAUCCGAGAUGAAGAAGGACGGCAUAAGACCAAAUGAGUUCACUUUGGCCACUUGUUUGAAAGCCUGCUCUCUUUGCUUGGAUCUAGAUUUCGGGAAACAGUUGCAUUCUGAAGCUGUUAAAGCUGGAUAUGUCUCGGAUUUGUUUGUAGGAUCCUCACUUGUUGACCUUUACGCAAAAUGUGGCGUAAUGGAACUUGCAGAUAGUGUGUUAUUUUGCAUGCCCGAGCAGAAUGCUAUAUCGUGGAACGCACUGCUUAGUGGAUACGCUGAGAAAGGAGAUUCGCAAGAGGUUUUGAAACUGUUCUGCAGAAUGAGGCAAUUAAAAAAUGUGUUGAACAAUUACAUUUUGUCUGCCGUUCUAAGGGGGUGUACGAAAGCGGGAAACUUAAGACAAGGCCAGGUCUUGCAUUCUCUGGUCUUAAAACUUGGGUGUGAACUUGAUGAAUUUCUGGGUUGCAGCCUUGUUGAUAUGUAUUCGAAAUGUGGGCUAGCAACAGAUGCCUUAAAUGUGUUCAUGAGGAUUAAAAAUCCUGACAUAGUAGCCUGUAGUGCAAUGAUUACUUGCCUUGGUCAGCAAAGGCAGUGGCAAGAAGCUGCUCAUCUAUUUCGUCUAAUGAGAUGUAUAGGCAUCCUGGGAAAUCAUUUUAGCUUCUCAAGUAUUCUUAGUUCUGCCACUGAUAUGGGAGACCUGCGGUAUGGUGAAAGCAUCCAUGCUUGUGUUUGGAAAUCUGCAUUUCAAUACGAUCUAACAGUCAGUAAUGCUCUGAUCACAAUGUAUGCUAAAAAUGGAUGUGUGCAAGAUGCCAUUCGGAUAUUUGAAGCUAUAAAAGAUUGUGACUUAGUUUCAUGGAAUGCUCUUUUAUCCGGAUUUCAUGAUUAUGAAAAUUGCAAUCUUGGACCAAUAAUUUUCCGCCAGAUGCUUGUUGAAGGUUUCAAGCCCAACAUGUACACAUUUAUCAGCAUCUUAAGGUCUUGUUCCAGCCUCUUGGAUGUAGGUCUAGGGAAACAGAUUCAUGCCCAUUCCAUCAAAAACAGUCUUCAUGACAAUGCUUUCAUUGGAACAACUCUCAUUGAUAUGUAUGGUAAAACUAGGUGCUUGGAAGAUGCAAAUUUAGCUUUUAGCAGACUUACUAAUAGAGACCUCUUAACUUGGACAACCAUUAUUACUGGCUAUGCACAAACUGGUCAAGCAGAAAAUGCUGUUAGUCUCUUCAAUCAGAUGAGAAGAGAAGGUGUAAGGCCAAAUGGAUUCACUCUUGCUAGCUGUUUAAGUUCUUGCGCACAUAUAGCCACCCUGGAACAUGGGUGGCAGCUCCACGCUUUGGCAUUCAAGGGUGGGCACACAGAAGAUUGUUUUGUUAGUAGUGCGCUAGUUGAUAUGUACGCAAAAUGUGGAUGCAUAGAUUAUGCUGAGACUGUCUUCGAAGGCCUGGUUUCACGGGAUACAGUCUCAUGGAACACCAUGAUAUGUGGAUAUUCCCAACAUGGGCAAGGAGGGAGAGGUCUUAAAGCGUAUAGGAAAAUGCUUGAUGAAGGUACCAUGCCAGACGAGACCACCUUUAUAGGUGUGUUUUCUGCUUGCAGCCACUUAGGUUUGGUUAUAGAAGGGCAAGAGCACUUUAACUCCAUGAUCAAAGAUUUUGACAUUAAUCCUACAAUUGAGCAUUAUGCUUGUAUGAUUGGUAUCCUUGGUCGGGCUGGAAGAUUCGAAGAGGUUGAAAGCCUCAUCGAGAACAUGAAAUUAGGUCCACAAGCCAUAAUUUGGGAGACUGUUCUUGGGGCUUGCAAGUUGCAUGGAAAUUUGGAGUAUGGAAAAAGAGCUGCAGAAAAGCUUUUUGAGCUCAGACCAGAAAUGGAUUCUACCUAUAUUUUGCUAUCUAAUAUUUUUGCUACCAAAGGUCUGUGGGAUGAUGUCAGAAAUGUCAGAAAGUUAAUGGGCGGUCAGGGGGUAAAGAAGAAACCUGGGAGUAGCUGGGUUGAGGUUAAUAGACAAGUUCACGUGUUUACCUCUCAAGAUGGUUCCCAUCCUAAAAUCAAAGAAAUCCAUUUGAAACUAGAGGAACUGGACAAGAAGAUGGAGUCGGUAGGUUAUAUACCACAAACAGAAAAUGUGCUUCAUAAGAUCACAGAAAAAGAGAAAAGGGAACAUCUUCAACAUCAUAGUGAAAGAUUGGCUCUCGCGUUUGCGCUGAUAUACAGUAAGCCUAUAAAAGCAAUUCGAAUUUUCAAAAAUCUACGCAUCUGUGGUGACUGCCACGAUGUUAUGAAGCUUGUCUCUAGUAUUACAAAUAGAGAAAUAGUUGUUCGUGACACUAAGAUAUUUCAUCAUUUUAAGUCUGGCUCUUGCUCUUGUAAGGAUUUUUGGUAAUCCUGCCCCAAGAUUGGUAGGCUCAUCCGAGGUCUAAAUUUUUUUGUAAAAUUAUAUAUUUGGAUUCAAAUUCUUCAUGCUAAAGAAACCUGGCACCAUUUUUUUAGAUGUACCUGUCAUUUUUCUCCCUCAAGUGAUGCUAUGCUUCAUGAACAAGCACACCUGUUACUGUGGCAGGCACAGGAGAAAAAGGAGAAGAAAAGAAUUCAGCUAAGCAGGUGGAUCUCCUUGUCAUGGGCAGCAACCUCUUGAUUAACAUAGUUCCAAGAGCCAUGAAAUUGUAAUGUCAAUGAACUGAAACAAGAGAAAACAUAGUUUUGCAGCAAGACUAUGGGCUUGCAUCAUGCUCCAUGAAGUUGUUAGCCAUAUGAGGACCUUUCUAGUUCUGGUACCACUGUGCAUGUAGGGACUUGGUAAUUGUAAAUCAUAUUAACUAUUUUCUGCUUCAUAAUUUAGCUUGUGGGAUUCUUAACAAUUCAUUCUUUCUAAUUUCAAAUUCGAAAAGCAUAGUACUUAUAGCUAGUGCCUCUGUUUAUAUGUUUCCCCAGCAGUCUAAGACUUGGACGAGGCUGCCCACAAAUCAUGGAAUUUCUCUCUCUCUCUCUCUCUGUUCAGUGCACGCACGCACAUAUAUAAACAUACUAUAUAUUUAUAUAGUGUAAAAAAGAUGAAAUGAGAUUGAGAUGCUCUGUUAUUUCUAUGAUUAGAUAUUUCAUUUUUACAGUUUAAAUGUCUACCAUAUAUAAGUUUUUAAGCUUCGUUUGAGUUUGUCUUUUUUUUUUAUUAAUAUUUUUUUAAAGUUUUUAAGCUCCAAAACUGCAUUUGUAACUAAAAGCAAUGUUUGUGCUUAUCAUGUAGUUGGAUAAAGUUAAUCCACACUUAGCAGAUAUUGGUUUGGCAGAACACAAGAGUGAUUCAAAACAAAGUUUCUGUUGAGAAUUUGAGAGCAUCUGGAAAGCCCAGUAUUAUUAGGACAUCAGUUUACAAGACCACUGGUGGUUUCUCUUGGACG